GGGUUCAUCAAGUCAGCGAGCUGACUCAGUUGACCCGAUGAGAUUUUGAGCUGUGUCAUCAGGUUCAGGAAUGCAAGCCUCAGUUUGGUGUAGGUUUUAUGCUACCCUGUUUUCAGAUAUUGAGUCAUCAGAUUUUUUUUCUGGUAGUGAGUGUAUUUCAUUUCAGGCUGGUUAAUUGUCAUGUAGACCAUACAUUUUCUAUUAAAUAAAAUGAAAUUGCUGAAAUUGCUGCUGAGCCUAAGGAUGCGGAUGAGGCUGGGGCUUGCGGCCUGGCUACACAUGAUUCAUAUAUGCUUUCUUUCCUUUAUAUUAUGAUUUAGAUGUGUAUAGAUAUUCUAUGAGUUUUUGCAAUUCACACAUUUGAAUCAUCAUAUAUGCUUAUGAUUUUAAUGCACCAAAAACCACCCAUGUAAUCUCAGCCCUGCAAAUGCGUCAGCAUAUCAAGCUCAUGGACUUGACAUGGAUACGUUUGAUGUCGCCUAGGUGCGGAACUAGUUGUCCAUUCCAAUGUUACCAAGAUCACCAACCCACCUCAUUCUUUUGACAAAAAAGAAAAUGAAAGAGUAAAAAGGAUGCAAGCUCUGGUUGAGGCUUACAUUUUCAGUGGAGGCAUUUUCUCUAUGUCGGUAUUUCAGUAUGCAAAUGAGGAAAAAAGCUCUCAAGAUUAAGCGAAUGGAGAUGGAACAGAAAGAUUGCUCCCUGAAGGUAGAUAAACUACUAGAAAGGCAUAGUUGAAUUGUAGCUGAGAAACAAUUAUUUGGAAAAAGUGGGACAAAUUAUGACUUCUCAUCUCGUGAUCCUCUUAAAUCAAGGGGGGAGCUUGAGAAACUUCAAGUUGAACAAUCUGGCCUUGAGAAGAGGGUCAACAAAAAAGUUAUGACAAUGUUCAAGAAAGCUGAAGAUGAAUACAAUGACUUAUUAUCUAAGAAAAACAUCAUUGAGGUAUAUUGCUAUAUUUCUCAGCCUGUAAAGGAUUUCAUCUUUUUUUCUUCUUU